rnacentral:rRNA from 1 species
GUUUGAUCCUGGCUCAGAUUGAACUGGCGGGAUGCUUUACACGCUGCAAGUCGAACGGCAGCACGGACUUCGGUCUGGUGGCGAGUGGCGAACGGGUGAGUAAUGUAUCGGAACGUGCCUAUUGUGAGGAUAACUACGCGGCCAGCUAAUACCGCAUACGCCCUUCCGGGGGAAAGCGGGGACCUUCGGGCCUCGCACUAUUAGAGCGGCCGAUAUCGGAUAGCUAGUUGGUGGGAUGGCGGCUCGCAAGGCGACGAUCCGUAGCUGGCUGGUUUGAGAGGACGACCAGCCACACUGGGACUGAGACACGGCCCAGACUCCUACGGGGAGGCAACAGUGGGAAUUUACGGACCAAUGGGGAAACCUGAUCAAACCAUCCGCGUGUGCGAUGAAGCAUGGGUUCGUAAAGCACUUUUGGCAGAAGAAACGGCACGGGAUAAUACCCCGUGCAACUGACGAGCCACCUGCAGAAUAAAGCACCGGCUAACUUCACGGUACCAGCAGCCGCGGUAAUACGUAGGAGUGCAAGCGUUAAUCGGAAUUACUGGGCGUAAAGCAUUCGCAGGCGGUUCGGAAAGAAAGAUGUGAAAUCCCAGAGCUUAACUUUUGGAACUGCAUUUUUAACUACCGACUAGAGUGUGUCAGAGGGAGGUGGAAUUCCGCGUGUAGCAGUGAAAUGCGUAGAUGCGGAGAGACACCGAUGGCGAGCGGCCUCACCAGGAUAACACUGACGCUCAUGCGAAAGCGUGGGAGCAAACGGGAUUAGAAUACCCUGGUAGUCCACGCCCUAAACGAUGUCAACUAGCUGUUGGGGCAGCUGGCCUUGGUAGCGCAGCCGCGUGAGGUUGACCGCCUGGGAGAGUACGGUCUUAAGAUUAAAACUCAAAGGAAUUGACGGGGAUUACACAAGCGGUGGAUGAUGUGGAUUAAUUUGAUGCAACGCGAAAAACCUUACCUACCCUUGACAUGUCUGGAAUCCAGAAGAGAUUUGGGAGUGCUCGCAAGAGAACCGGAACACAGGUGCUGCAUGGCUGUCGUCAGCUCGUGUCGUGAGAUGUUGGGUUAAGUCCGCAACGAGCGCAACCCUUGUCGUGGUUGCUACGAAAGGGCACUCUAAUGAGACUGCCGGUGACAAACCGGAGGAAGGUGGGGAUGACGUCAGAUCCUCGCAGCCCUUAUGGGUAGGGCACACACGUCAUACAAUGGUCAGGACAGAGGGUCGCCAACCCGCGAGGCCAAUCCCGAUCGUAGUCGGGAUCCUCGGUCUGCAACUCGACUGCGUGAAGUCAGAAUCGCCCGUAAUCGCGGAUCAGCAUGUCGCGGUGAAUACGUUCCCGGGUCUUUUACACCGCCCGUCACACCAUGGGAGUGGGUUUUACCAGAAGUAGUUAGCCUAGCCGUAAGGAGGGCGAUUACCACGGUAGGAUUCAUGACUGGGGUGAAGUCGUAACUGAGUAG